rnacentral:tRNA from 1 species
GUGCCCGUAGCUCAGCUGGAUAGAGCGCUGCCCUCCGGAGGCAGAGGUCUCAGGUUCGAAUCCUGUCGGGCGCACCA